rnacentral:tRNA from 1 species
GUGGGGGUGCCGGAGCGGUCAAACGGGCAGGGCUUAGGACCCUGUGGCUUAGUGCCUACCGGGGUUCAAAUUUGAAGCUACGCUUCAAGCCUCAGCAAAGCGGAGCUUUGAUGAAUGUCCUCGCCCCCACA